rnacentral:rRNA from 1 species
CUCAGAAUCAACGCUGGCGGCGUGCCUAACACAUGCAAGUCGCACGAGAAAGUGGGGGCAACUCCAUGAGUAAAGUGGCGUACGGGUGAGUAACACGUGACUAACCUACCUCCGAGUGGGGAAUAACUCCGGGAAACCGGGGCUAAUACCGCAUAACAUCUACGGAUCAAAGCAGUAAUGCGCUUGGAGAGGGGGUCGCGGCUGAUUAGCUAGUUGGUAAGGUAAUGGCUUACCAAGGCGACGAUCAGUAUCCGGCCUGAGAGGGCGCACGGACACACUGGAACUGAAACACGGUCCAGACUCCUACGGGAGGCAGCAGUGGGGAAUUUUGCGCAAUGGGGGAAACCCUGACGCAGCAACGCCGCGUGGAGGAUGAAGGUCUUUGGAUUGUAAACUCCUUUCGAUCGGGACGAUUAUGACGGUACCGGAAGAAGAAGCACCGGCUAACUCUGUGCCAGCAGCCGCGGUAAUACAGAGGGUGCAAGCGUUGUUCGGAAUUAUUGGGCGUAAAGGGCGCGUAGGCGGUGCGGUAAGUCUCUAGUGAAAUCUCCGGGCUCAACUCGGAGCCUGCUAGGGAAACUGCCGUGCUUGAGUGUGGGAGAGGUGAGUGGAAUUCCCGGUGUAGCGGUGAAAUGCGUAGAUAUCGGGAGGAACACCUGUGGCGAAAGCGGCUCACUGGACCACAACUGACGCUGAGGCGCGAAAGCUAGGGGAGCAAACAGGAUUAGAUACCCUGGUAGUCCUAGCCCUAAACGAUGAUUGCUUGGUGUAACAGGUACCCAAUCCUGUUGUGCCGAAGCUAACGCGAUAAGCAAUCCGCCUGGGGAGUACGGUCGCAAGGCUGAAACUCAAA